GAGGGCGGGAGGGCAGGAGGACGCGGUUUCCUGGAGAUCCUCACUCCUCCCCUGCCGUCCUCCCCUUC
rnacentral:pre_miRNA from 1 species